CAGUGGGGAAUCUUGGUCAAUGGGCGCAAGCCUGAACCAGCGAUGCCGCGUGAGUGAUGAAGGCCUUCGGGUUGUAAAGCUCUGUGGGGAGGGACGAAAGCCUGCAUUCUAACAGGAUGCAGUUUGACGGUACCUCCUUAGCAAGCACCGGCUAACUCUGUGCCAGCAGCCGCGGUAAGACAGAGGGUGCAAACGUUGCUCGGAAUCACUGGGCGUAAAGGGCGUGUAGGCGGGAAGGAAAGUCAGAUGUGAAAUCCCUGGGCUCAACCCAGGAACUGCAUUUGAAACUCCCUUUCUUGAGUGCUGGAGAGGAAAGCGGAAUUCCUGGUGUAGAGGUGAAAUUCGUAGAUAUCAGGAGGAACACCGGUGGCGAAGGCGGCUUUCUGGACAGUAACUGACGCUGAGACGCGAAAGCGUGGGGAGCAAACAGGAUUAGA
rnacentral:rRNA from 1 species